GCCAGGCAUGGUGGUGCAUGCCUGUAAUCCCAGCUACUCAGGAGGCUGAGGCUGGAGAAUCGCUUGAGCCUGGGAGGCAGAGGCUGCAGUGAGUGGAGAUCACGCCCCUGCACUCCAGCCUGGGCAACAGAGCGAGACUCCGUCUCAA
rnacentral:SRP_RNA from 1 species